GUAGUUUUUUGAAAUACUUAUAAUAAAAAAGUGUGUAAAAAUGGGUGUAAAAUUGUUUAAAAAUUGGAAAUGAGUUCUAUGUCCUACCAAACGGAGCCCUAGUAUUUUGGUGCUAAAAAAAUCUUUUUAACACCUUGGUGAUUUUUCUUCUUGGGAAAAAUUACCAUUUGAGCUCCUGUUUAGGGAAUUGAAAACCAUGGAAGGCUACAUUGCUAUAUGGUCCACCCGGGACAGGGAAGACCGACGUGGCAAACGCGAUUGCAACAGAAGCAGGCUCAGCUUUCUUUAGUUAUCACAUUAUUGGAAUGUGUUGAAUUUCUUAAUUCAUCAUCUACGCCAUUAUGCUUCAAUUGAUUCACAUCUACGAUUGUUUUGAUGUCUACUUCUUCCAAUUAGUUAUUUUGGGGUGCAUUAUUACAACUCAUGUACAAAAUUCCCAUAGAUGUAGAUGCGUUUGCUCUGUAAUCAUUCAAUAUAGAUGGAAUGUUGCCAACACAAUUAUAUGUGUACUGUCUAUACACAGUGUUUUGGCAUCGAACAUUGUGUCCAAAUGGAUGGGAGAAGGUGAAAAGAAACUUAAGAAAGUCUCAAAUUUUUUCAAUAUGCUCGUGAUGAAGCUCCAUCCAUUAUUUUUAUUGAUGAAAUUGAUUCCUUAUGUGGCCCACGAGGUAAUGACAAUGAGAAUGAAGCCUCUCGACGAAUCAAAACAGAAUUUCUUGUACAAAUGCAGGCUGUAUCCAACGAUGCGAAAAAUGUUCUUGUUCUUGCAGCCACAAAUACUCCUUAUCAUUUGGAUGUGGCCAUCCGGAGGCGUUUUGAUAAGCGAAUCUAUAUCCCUCUCCCAAUUUGAAGGCAAGGGAACAAAUAUUUAAGUGGCAUAUUGGGGAAACUCCUCAUAACCUUGGUACAGAGGAUUUUCAGUAUUUAGCAAGCAAAACAGAUGGUUUCUCUGGUUCAGAUAUAUCCGUUUGCGUUAAAAUGCACUAUAUCAGCCUGUUCGUGCAACUCUUGAUGCUGAAUUCUUCAGAGAAUAUUCUCCAGGCAUGUGGGUCCAUUGCGAAGGUGAUCACCCAAAAGCUGAGAAGCGUACCUUCGAGGAACUUAAAGCAAAAGUCGAAGCUCCAAAGAUCCAGCUACCACCCAACACAAAAGCAGAUUUUGAUAGUGUGCUUGAGAAACAAAAGCCAACUGUGAGUAAAGCUGAAAUUGUUGCGUGUGAGAAAUUCACCAAGGAUUUUGGGAUUGACGGUUAAGGGCGAAAAAUGUAGAGGCAGAUAUUAUUAUUUCUGAAGUUUCUUCCUAUUGUGUUUCUAAUUAUGUUUUUUUUUUUUGGGGGUGGGGGGGUAAAAGUAUUUGUUAACCAUAUGCUAGUGUUUUGUGAAUUUAUCUGGGUUAGACAUUUGUCAGUAUGGAUAGAAGCUUUCUAGCCCCAGAAAAAGAGCAAUAAACUAGCUUGUCCAACUUUUUAUUUUAAUAAAAAAGCAAUAAACUAGCUUCUUUUUUUC